AGUCCUGGGCUGGCCCCAUUGUCAGCAGCAACAACACUUGCUCUAAAGCUGGCCAGGGGUCGCCACCAAGACCCAGUGUUGAAAGCCACUGUGUCAUUGCAGGACCAAGUGGAAAAGGAGAGGCUGCCUCCCUCCUGCGCCUGCCCUAGAAACAGUGGGCCUGGCAGUUAGUGGAGGGAGCUUAGGAGAUCCCGUCUUCCGGAAGGUCCAGGAGCUCACCACGCCUGUUAGAUUCCAUGAUGAUAUUCUAGCACAGAGAGUUGUGGGCUAACCCAGGGUUUAAACUGUGAUGUCCAAGCAACUGUUGGGCUGCAUUAUGCCAGCUCAAGGGCUUUCUCCAAUCCCUGCCCCGAGGUGGCCACCGCAGCAGUGUAGGAGAGUGAAGGAGCCAGAAGGGGGUCUGCCCCACCUGCCCACUCAGCAAACCAUGCUUUUGGCUUACUUCACUAGAUACUUGGAAAGCAAUAGCAACAAGCUUUAAUCAGAUACCAUGGGAAAACAUAGCCCUUAUUUUGAAUCACCUAAAAUCUGAAAGUGGAGAGACAAAAAUAUACGUACUUCACUAGUGGCUUCUGCAAGUUUGUUUUACUAGAUCAUGCAGGAAGCAGCUAGACAGCAGUGGCUCCUUCUACCUUCCCUGCACGUGCCUUGAAAUCAGCUUCAUCUCUCCUGGUAACCCCCUAGAAAUUUCGCUUCAACGAGAUUAGGUCCUUAAAAUUAUGACUUCUGCACCUCCUAGUCUUGUCACCACCUCCCAGCCCUGGGCCACACCUGUAGCCUCCAGAAAACUUACCAAUGGAGUCAGGACUUUCUCUCAGUGGUUUUCAAGGUAACAAAGUGGCUUUCAGAGCCUCAUCUCCAAAUGAAGGCCAGGACACACACAAUUAAAUCAAGGUAGUUGAAAGGAAAAAGCUUUCAAAUAAACCUUUCUGGGAUUCAAUUAUGAGUCUUGCUUCACCGCGAAUCACAUACCCCAUUGUAAUACUAAUCUUGAACAAAAUUUCUAUUUGCAUCAUAUGUUUUCUUGCUCACCAAGAGGGCGACACAUUACCAAUAGAUACCUGGGGACGUGCUUCAGUCUGAACUAUAAUUGAAUCCCUGACAUUAUAAGGAACUUGGUAAGAAUUUUCCUCUUG
rnacentral:lncRNA from 1 species